ensembl:misc_RNA 7SK 7SK RNA
AGAUGGCAGGUGAUCUGGCUAUGGCAUCUGCCACUCCACUGACUGCUAGUGUCAAUUCUGCUCAUCUAGCUGAUUAAGCAGUGUCCCUCCCCCCUCUUACAGCUCCAUGGACAUCACUCCAGAAUAAGGAAGGGCCAGUCUUUGGUCAAGGUUAUAAGAAGGAGUAACCAUGAUGCCCUGCUAGAAUCUCCAAACAAGCUCUCAAGAUCACUGUUUUUUUCUAAGCUGUUUCUCAAUUUCAGAUUCCAGGAUGGUAGCUGGUCAUCUGUG